UUGAAGUCUCGAGGUUAUUUCGUCGAGGUCUUGGUGCUAGUUAUUCUUUUUCCGAUCUGAUUUCAAUUGCCAGAACUCCAUGUUUGACGUUAACGUCUUUUGAGUGUACUGCCGGAGGGUGUUCCAACCGGGAAAGCUCAUUUGAAGCUGUUGUUUCUCAGCCUUUAUUUGGUAUGCCUUACAUAUCAAUUUAUACAAGUAUUUAAGAAGACGAUUCAGAACUGCACCAACAUAACCAGGCAGGUUUUUCGUUUUUUUCCCUC
rnacentral:lncRNA from 1 species